UAGUGUAAAGCACACACAUACAGUUACCCAUACCCGCACAGUAUAUACACAAACACACACACCCCUACUGUACCCACAGCAAUACCUACACCCACAGUCUUAUACACUUAGUACUACCUACACUGUUAUACACACAGCUAUACAAAUUACUACACCCACAUUGCUAAACACAUACUGCUACACAUGCUGUUACCUACAUUCUUACGUACUCUAUUAUCCACACUGACACUGUUACAAGCACACAUGCGGCACUUGUCAUGCAUGCACAUUA